rnacentral:piRNA from 1 species
UCAUUAGCCAUGUCUAAGAGCAGAGGGAUUC